AUGCUGGUGCUAUCUAAUUUGGCGGCGGUGGCGGCACUGCAAUUUUCCAGUUCACGGCUCUGUUCGGUGCCGGGGGCGGUGGAGGCGACGGCAUUCUGCGUUUCAUUGUCUCGAUGAGCUUUUGAGGAGAAUCCAAGAAUGUCCCAUGAACUACAACAGAAUUAGAAGCGUAGCUAAUGAAACUAAAAUACGAAAGUAACAAGGCAAGCACAAGGAUGAAGGCAAAUGGGAAUGAUUUGGGAGCCAUAAUUUUCAUCAGGGUUGCAGUUCCACGUGUGGGAGGAGGAGCGGCAUUGGUACGCAUACGCAGAACAAAGCGAAUUGGGACUGCCACUGUGAGAGCCAUGCGAGCCGUGGUUCAGCGCGUGGCCUCUGCAUCCGUCGAAGUCGAAGGCCGCGUCGUCUCCGAGAUCGGCCCUGGCCUUCUCGUCCUGGUCGGAAUCCACGAUUCCGAUUCCGACGCCGACGCCGAUUACAUAUGUCGAAAGGUCUUGAAUAUGAGGUUGUUCGCUAAUGAAAACACAGGCAAAGCGUGGGACCACAAUGUAAUGCAAAAAAAUUAUCAAGUUUUAUUAGUGAGUCAAUUUACGUUGUAUGGAUUCCUGAAGGGUAAGAAGCCAGAUUUUCACGUUGCAAUGGGGCCUCAGAGAGCCAAGCCCUUCUAUGCUUCUUUAGUUGACAGGUUUAGGAACGCUUAUAAUUCUGAUGCAAUCAAGGGUGAGAGAUCUUAUGUUUCACCUUUCAUUUCUGUUUCUAUAAUUAUAUACUGUUUCACAGAUAUAGAAGCAUAUUUUUAUUUUUGUUUUGUCUCAUCUUUGAGUAAUAGCAAAUUGGAAUAGCUAUGCAUUUUUGUCCCAUUCAUAUAUUAAGAGAACCGAUUAUACUUUAAGCAUUUGAUGUAGCUAGAACUUGGAGUAUUAUUCUUAUUCUAUAGAAUAUGGAUAUAUAGUGAAUUGGAUUGGAGAAUUGGAGCCUUUUUCCUUUGUGAAACUGCGAUCAAAUUCUUUCACUUUUAUCUUUUCACUGGAUGUUGUAUUGUGGUCAACAAGCCGAAUGCCUGUGCAAUCUUUUCAUGCGAUGUAUCAAGUCAACUUGUUAGUUCAAAAAUUUGUUUGGCAUGCAAUUUCCUGUGUCUAUAGUCCUUUAUACCAAUCUUGAGAAUUUGAGAAUGCGCUAGUUAAAUUAUAAAAUCACAAUCUUGAGAAUUUGAGAAUGCUUUUGAUCAUGAAUACAUGAUGACCGAUCAAUUAUUCUCUCAUGGCCUUUGAAAUACAUUAGUAGUGCUAUGAUACUUGUCAAAACAGAUGUCCUUUGAGGAGUCUUAGUUGUAUUUGUGUUGAUUUGUAUUGAUUCAUUUUUAAUUUCUGUUGGAACCUUACUUUUAAGCUGCUUUCAAUUCCUUAUGCAGAUGGUGUUUUUGGAGCAAUGAUGAAGGUAAAUUUGGUUAAUGAUGGACCAGUUACCAUGCAGCUUGAUUCACAAUCACCCAAGAAUACAGUGGAUGCAGCAGAAUCAUGAUCAGGGAUUGAUCUAGCCUGAUAAAAAUGAGCUUGAAUUCAAGUACCUCUUCUGUCAGCAAGACCAAAUGUAAGACAUUUUUGUCUUGUUCAUUUUAGUUGAAGUGUUUCUUCCUCCAUGUAGUAACACCAUUUUGUAACACUAUUCAGUUGAAAGAAUGUCUAAGAUUGUCCCUCUCCGUUCUGCGAUCUGGGAAUAGUGUUUGAAUCCUUUUUGGCCAAACUAAUACCGGAUGGCUACUAAUCUGGGCAGCUGUUGCCUUGUCUGAAGUUCUAGUGGCCACAUGCCAAGUUAUAUUUUAACUGGUUCCACUGGGAAAACCUGUUGGAAUCCCCCCCCCCCCCCACACCACCACCACCAUAUUUAAUGUAGACCCCAAUUUUGUAGUAAAAGAAGUUCUUUCUUCUCUCCAUGAUUUUCUUUUCCUAGCAUGAGUGCCUGAUUGUGAUCAUGAAUGAUGAGUUAACCAAUGUACUCUUCUGCAUCUUUCUUUCUUUUUCUUCUUUCCUUUUCAUUCCUUUUUUAUCAA